CUGGCACCGAAGCUUUGGAAUGAUGAAUGUCAUUGGUAGGGGAGCGUUCUUAACGAGUAGAAGCGGUACCGUGAGGAGCCGUGGAUUGUUAAGAAGUGAGAAUGCCGGUAUGAGUAAGCGAAAAGGCAGGUGAGAAUCCUGCCCGCUGAAAACCUAAGGUUUUCUGGGGAAGGUUCGUCCGCCCAGAGUAAGUCGGGACCUAAGCCGAGGCCGCAAGGCGUAGGCGAUGGACAAUCGGUUGAGAAUCCGAUACCACCAAAUACCGUUUGAGUGAAGGAGUGACGCAGGAGGGUAA
rnacentral:rRNA from 1 species